rnacentral:tRNA from 2 species
GCCGAGAUAGCUCAGUAGGUAGAGCGGAGGACUGAAAAUCCUUGUGUCCGUGGUUCGAUUCCACGUCUCGGCA